CAGCUGAAUCAAACCAUUCCCAUCAGGACACUGAAAAUCAAGCGAGCUUGUCGAUGGUCUUCUCAGUACCUGGUGGAUUGACUAUAUUAAAGCAGACAAAAACUGUGCAUGGAUCGGCUGAUACUGCCUGGGGAAUCUUGGUGAUCUGUAAAACAAGUGAAUGACCAACGAAUGAAAUUCCAAGGAACUUGGAGAACCGACUUUUAGUUGCUGCAGUCAAACAAAAAACAGAGAAUGACCUUCUGAAAAGUGCCUGUUCAAAAUGUAAUAAAACGCUGAGGACAACUCUGUAGCCGCAUCUUGACAAGACCAAGCAAAGUCCAGCUAAUGUUUUCAAAAACCAAUAUUUGCCAAGGGAGGCUCUACUCGCGAAAUUGACUGACCUCCAGAAACAAAACCGGACGUUGGAAUUGGCACUGAAACGUCAAUAAGAGCCUGAAAUGGCCAUGACGGAUGUUAUGGAAGUGGAAAUGUUUCAACCGAUCGAUAACGACGAAGAAAUCACAGGAAAUGCCAGCUGGAAAUAAGAAGCGGAAAUACUUGAGAGAAAGAAUUUAGGUUAAUUUGGUUUUCACCAUACUGAUGAUUUUGCCGCUCGUUACAUUUUUGUUAUUAGUUUAGUUGUCUGUAAACUAAUUUUACACAAAGAAAUUUUGAAUUUUGUCAAAUAAAUCGUGUUUAAAAUAUCAUUUACAUCAUUGAUUAGAAAUUCCCGUUUGAAACCGU